rnacentral:rRNA from 1 species
GACGUAGGGCGCGAGCGUUGUCCGGAUUUAUUGGGCGUAAAGAGCUCGUAGGCGGCUUGUUGCGUCGACUGUGAAAACCCGCGGCUCAACCGCGUGGCUUGCAGUCGAUACGGGCAGGCUAGAAUUCGGUAGGGGAGACUGGAAUUCCUGGUGUAGCGGUGAAGUGCGCAGAUAUCAGGAGGAACACCGGUGGCGAAGGCGGGUCUCUGGGCCGAUAUUGACGCUGAGGAGCGAAAGCGUGGGGAGCGAACAGG